rnacentral:lncRNA from 1 species
CUUGGUUUGGUGUGCACCAUACUAGUUACACAGAAGGUCAUUUGUCACACCCGAAUUUAGGGGGCUAAACCCGGGCGCGAUUCAGAUGUGUGCUAGGAUCAAGUCCCACACAUAUGAUGACUCAUGGUACAGAAACGAAUGUCACAUCUUUAAUAUAUAAUGGAGUUCUGUACAAAAAUAGAUAAAUAAUUACAUCAUACGAAGACAAUGAUCCAACAACCAUAGUUAACUGGGAGACGACGGCCUAGACCUCUCACGAACAUCAUCGCGACAUCCAUCAUGCUCCUCAUCCUGCGGUACCUCCUCUUGACCUGGGGGAUGUGAGUACAACAAGGGUGAGCUCACAUACGUUCAUCGCUCAACAAGUUGUGGAGAAUAUUGUGCAUGAGCUCACUUACAAUGGGGCGCAUGUGAAGUGUAAGGCUUACCAAAGGAGAUGGUUAAAGCUGAGCAUUGCUUUUAAAGUUGGUCAAAGUUUUAUUAGCAGUUACUAAGUAUAAGUACAUACCAAUCCAAUUAAAUAAGAGAUCACAAUUGAUAAUAACACCCGCGAUGCAAUGCAUUUGGUAGAUUAAGUUUAGUUCCAUAAAUUAACCAUGCGAGUCCUGAGUCGCUCUUGACCGUGAGCAUGGCUGAUAUACUAGUUUUACACUCUGCAGAGGUUGCCGCCUUUACCCACAAGUCAUGUAUCCCAUCUAGCCAGGGUUUACAAGGCCCUUAGACACUUCCGAGGUGAAUGGCUAGGGAUCUACUACGAGACCUUUACAAAGUUCCGCUAGCUUUAGAAAACCCGUUAUGGUUUCUGAGAAGGGCAAUAUAUGAAUCCCUCAUCCGAAAAGCCAUCGCAGCAUGAUAGACCCGAGAACCUCCCUAUACGCAGCUCCUCUACCGCUCUUGCCCCUUUCAGGUAAGGUAGUCCUCCACUAGCUUUCCUAAUUAGUCAGCCAAGGGCGUCCCAUUCCACCCUUGUGGUAGCACAGAUAUCUCAAGUUAAGCUCCAUGUUCCAAUUAACACAAUGAUCUUGUCAUGAACAAUAAUUAAAACAACAUCAUAAUUGGAAUAUGAUCAUAAUUCAAAUAUAACAUUAAUCCUAAAACCAGGUAGAGUAAUAGCAAGUCUACCCAAUAGUUCAUUUGUCUGCAAGGGGUGGGGUAAACAAAUCUAGAGAAAUAUACUAGGUCCCAUCAAAUUAACCUUAGCAUGUCACAGUGAUUAACAAGAACAUUAUUGGGUAAAGAGAAAAGUGAUCAAGGGCACAACUUGCCUUAGACUCGAAAUUUCUAGGUACUUGUAGCAAUACAAACAAACAUAGUACAUGCAAAAUUAACAUCACACCAAUCAUGAGAACAUAUUACAUAAUAAUGAUCUACAUGUCGUAACUAGAUCCUAGGUUCGAGAACCACUAAAUUUGGAGUUACGGUUAUAAAGUUAUGAUUUUCCGAAUGUUUAAGUGUCUAAAAUAAAUGAGGUAUAAGAUUUUAACCAUAGGUUUCAUAGCAAUACAAGGUUAGUAGAUGAUAAACAAUAUUAGUAUGAGACUAAUGUAACUGGAAUAGAUCAAAAAGAGUUAAAAUGGAUUAAUUAUGAAUUAACCAAGUUCCUAGAAUUAUAUUCCCACUAAAAAUUAUUUUCUGGCUUCUUUUAUUAUUCCUGGUAUUUUAUUUGGACUGCAGACGUAAAUACCAAAGACUAUAGGGUUUACUAUAUAAAAUUCAGGGCAUAAUUGUAAUUACUUUACACUAGCAGUGGACGACGGGUUUAUUUUGAAAAUUGCUAGGGACUCAUACGCAAAGUGUCCGGUGAUGAAGGGGUAUCAUCGAAUCUAGGCCAUCCGAUCUCGAAUGGGUGGUCCAGAUUAGAUACAGCUAGGGGACGAAUCGUUACGCGGCCUGUGCGCACGAUCCGAGAUCUACGGUCAAGGUUUAACGAAGACGUGCCACAACCCCAGCCCUCCGAUUAAAUCGGACGGCCCACGCUACCCUGGCCGAAAUGGUACACUCAAUAAGAUCUAGGCCGCCCAUUCCGCGAUCAACGGUUCCCGCAUUAUCCCCUUCCUUACGCUCCCAUCAACCUAACAGGCCGCCAGAGAAGUCACCAGCCACGACGACGCUUCCAUCGGAGCAUGCAAAACUGGGUCCCCAAGGCUGUAUUCCAUACAAGGACGAGUGCUACACGAACUACGGGACCAGGUGAAAUAGUUAAGGGAAACCUUACUGGUGUUGAAGCGGCCCAACGAGCUGGCCACGAUGUUAUGCAGAUCCAUGGCGAACCACAAGCGAUGGCGAGCAAUUGCUUGGACGCCGAGGGUCCAAUGGCGGAAUUGAUGGUCGCCAAAGUUCCCUGGAACAAUGGCGCUGCUCUGGAAUACCGCACUGACGCCCGAGCGCCCACGAUUUGUGGUUUUGUCGGCGGCGGAUUCUCUCUCCCUCACGGCUACACAGUGACCUGGUAUUCGUUGUCGCGCGAC